CACUGCAAUUGUAUCUUGACUGAGACAAGGGAGAAAAACAAGAUGUGACAGUCCCAGUGGCCAGGCUAAAUGCUGGCAGAGGCCUUGUAUGUAUUCAAGGUUGACUCUUCUCCUUGGGGACCAUUAGUUACAACCUUUGAGAAGUACUGAUUGGAAGAGGAGGUGCUCUGCAUAUCAACAGGAAGAAGCAUCCCCUGAGAUUCAACAAGAUCACACUGUUGCUGCAUUUAAAGCAGGAUGGAUUCAUGCUUGGUGAUUUCUAACCCUACUAUCUGAAUGUGGAGCUGCAAUCAGAACUCAUCAGACCGGCCUCCUCCACGAUGAUGACAUCUGCCUCACUUGGAGGAAAUAAAAAGUAUGAAAUGCAGCAUGACCCUUCAGACUGAGGUUGUUUUGCAAAA